rnacentral:pre_miRNA from 1 species
GUAGGUUCAUGAGUAGUCAUAUAGGUAUAUUGUACGUAUGACUAUCUCAUCAACUUACAG